rnacentral:rRNA from 1 species
ACUCAAAUGAAUAGACGGGGGCCCGCACAAGCGGAGGAACAUGUGGUUUAAUUCGAUGAUACGCGAGGAACCUUACCUGGGCUUAAAUGUAGAGUGCAUUUUCUAGAGAUAGAAAUUCCCUUCGGGGCUUUCUGCAAGGUGCUGCAUGGUUGUCGUCAGCUCGUGCCGUGAGGUGUCGGGUUAAGUCCCAUAACGAGCGCAACCCUUAUCGUUAGUUGCCAGCUGGUAAAGCAGGGGACUCUAGCGAAACUGCCACCGUAAGGUGAGAGGAAGGUGGGGAUGACGUCAAAUCAGCACGGCCCUUAUGUCCAGGGCUACACACGUGUUACAAUGGCCGGUACAGAGGGCUGCUACCUGGUGACAGGAUGCUAAUCUCGAAAACCGGUCUCAGUUCGGAUCGAAGUCUGCAACUCGACUUCGUGAAGCCGGAUUCGCUAGUAAUCGCGCAUCAGCAACGGCGCGGUGAAUACGUUCCCGGGCCUUGUACACACCGCCCGU